UCAUAGCGUGCAUUUAGAAAUUUCAAACAAGCAAAAAAUUAAUUUUUGCGUUUUUUGCAUUCAUUUACGCCAAAGCUGUACUUCCAUUAGAACAUGGCUGCCAUGUUGGAAAGAUUGCGAACUGUUUCUGCAUCUUUUCAAGUGGUUACGAAUGAGCUUUUGAAAAACAAGGUUAUUGAGAAUUAUGAAAGCCAAUUUUCGGAAGUAAUGGCUGUUUUGAAAGAGUCAGAAAUGUUGCAGCAGCAGUUUAUCAAUCGUUUUAAAGAAAUGUCUGCUGAAAUUUAUGUUUGUCAGAAGAACG